rnacentral:rRNA from 1 species
UACAGAGGUCUCAAGCGUUGUUCGGAUUCAUUGGGCGUAAAGGGUGCGUAGGUGGCGGGGCCAGUCAGGUGUGAAAUCCCGGGGCUUAACCCUGGAACUGCAUUUGAUACUGCCUUGCUGGAGAACUGGAGAGGAGACUGGAAUUUACGGUGUAGCAGUGAAAUGCGUAGAGAUCGUAAGGAAGACCAGUGGCGAAGGCGAGUCUCUGGACAGUUACUGACACUGAGGCACGAAGGCCAGGGGAGCAAACAGG